rnacentral:rRNA from 1 species
GAUGAACGCUGGCGGCGUGCCUAAUACAUGCAAGUAGAACGCUGAAGCUUGGUGCUUGCCCCGAGCGGAUGAGUUGCGAACGGGUGAGUAACGCGUAGGUAACCUGCCUCUUAGCGGGGGAUAACUAUUGGAAACGAUAGCUAAUACCGCAUAAAAGUCGACAUCGCAUGAUGUUGACUUGAAAGGUGCAAUUGCAUCACUAAGAGAUGGACCUGCGUUGUAUUAGCUAGUUGGUGAGGUAACGGCUCACCAAGGCGACGAUACAUAGCCGACCUGAGAGGGUGAUCGGCCACACUGGGACUGAGACACGGCCCAGACUCCUACGGGAGGCAGCAGUAGGGAAUCUUCGGCAAUGGGGGCAACCCUGACCGAGCAACGCCGCGUGAGUGAAGAAGGUUUUCGGAUCGUAAAGCUCUGUUGUAAGAGAAGAACGAGUGUGAGAGUGGAAAGUUCACACUGUGACGGUAACUUACCAGAAAGAGACGGCUAACUACGUG